UACAGAGGUCCCAAGCGUUGUUCGGAUUCAUUGGGCGUAAAGGGUGCGUAGGCGGCGCGGUAAGUCGGGUGUGAAAUCUCGGAGCUUAACUCCGAAACUGCAUUCGAUACUGCCGUGCUUGAGGACUGGGGAGGAGACUGGAAUUUACGGUGUAGCGGUGAAAUGCGUAGAUAUCGUAAGGAAGACCAGUGGCGAAGGCGGGUCUCUGGACAGUUCCUGACGCUGAGGCACGAAGGUCAGGGGAGCAAACGGG
rnacentral:rRNA from 1 species